GGGUCGUUAGCUUAGUCUGGUAGAGCAGUGGACUCUUAAUCCAUUGGCCAUAGGUUCGAAUCCUAUACGACCCACCA
rnacentral:tRNA from 1 species